rnacentral:rRNA from 1 species
CGAGCGGUAAGGCCCUUCGGGGUACACGAGCGGCGAACGGGUGAGUAACACGUGAGCAACCUGCCCCUGACUCCGGGAUAAGCCGGGGAAACCCGGUCUAAUACCGGAUAGGGACGCCUCGUCGCAUGGCGGGGUGUGGAAAGGUUUUUUCCGGUCAGGGAGGGGCUCGCGGCCUAUCAGCUUGUUGGUGGGGUGAAGGCCUACCAAGGCGAUUACGGGUAGCCGGCCUGAGAGGGCGACCGGCCACACUGGGACUGAGACACGGCCCAGACUCCUACGGGAGGCAGCAGUGGGGAAUAUUGCGCAAUGGGCGGAAGCCUGACGCAGCGACGCCGCGUGGGGGAUGACGGCCUUCGGGUUGUAAACCUCUUUUACCACCGACGCAGGCCCGCGCUUCUGUGCGGGUUGACGGUAGGUGGGGAAUAAGGACCGGCCAACUACGUGCCAGCAGCCGCGGUAAUACGUAGGGUCCGAGCGUUGUCCGGAAUUAUUGGGCGUAAAGAGCUCGUAGGUGGUGUGUCGCGUCUGCUGUGUAAGUCCGGGGCUUAACUCCGGUUUGGCAGUGGAUACGGGCAUGCUAGAGGUAGGCAGGGGAGACUGGAAUUCCUGGUGUAGCGGUGAAAUGCGCAGAUAUCAGGAGGAACACCGGUGGCGAAGGCGGGUCUCUGGGCCUUACCUGACGCUGAGGAGC